rnacentral:rRNA from 1 species
GACGAACGCUGGCGGCGUGCUUAACACAUGCAAGUCGAACGAGUGGCGAACGGGUGAGUAACACGUGGGUGAUUUGCCUUGCACUUCGGGAAAAGAUUGGGAAACUGGGCCAAAAACCGGUUAGUGCAAGAUGAUCGCGGGGCCUAUCAGCUUGUAGGUGGGGUAAUGGCUACCAAGGCGCGACUGGUAGCCGGCCUGAGAGGGUGGACGGGCACAAUGGGACUGAGAGACGGCGCAGACUGCUACGGGGGGCAGCGGUGGGGAAUCUUGCGCAAUGGUCGGAAGCGUGAUGCGACGGCGCUGGGUUGGUGAAGAAGGCCUUCGGGGGAUAAACUCCUUUCGGCAGGGAAGCGGUACCUGUAUAAGAAGCACCGGCUAACUACGUGCCAGCAGCCGCGGUAAUUC